rnacentral:lncRNA from 1 species
UGUCUGUCCUGAGGAUCAGCCCUGUCUGUUUGUCCUGGGGAUCAGCUCUGUCCGUUUGUCCUGGGGGCUGUGCCUGGGAUCAGCCCUGUCUGUCCCUGGGAUCAGCCCUGUCCAUUUGUCCUGGGGGCUGUCCUGUCCGUCUGUCCUGGGGGCUGUGCCUGGGGUCUGCCCUGUCCAUCUGUCCCUGGGAUCAGCCCUGUCCAACUGUCCUGGCAUCUGCCCUGUCCAUCUGUCCCUGGGAUCAGCUCUGUCCAUUUGUCCUGGGGGCUGUCCUGUCCAGCUGUCCUGGGGAUCAGCUCUGUCCGUUUGUCCUGGGGAUCAGCCCUGUCCAUCUGUCCUGGGAUCUGCUCUGUCCAGCUGUCCUGGGGGCUGUCCUGUCUGUCUGUCCUGGGAUCACCCCUGCAUAUCUGUCCUGGGGGCUAUCCCUGGGAUCAGUCCUGUCUGUCUGUCCCAGGGAUCAGCCCUGUCCAUGUGUCCUGUGGAUCAGCCCUGUCUGUCUGUCCUGGAGGCUGUCCCAGGGAUCAGCCCUGUCCAUGUGUCCUGUGGAUCAGCCCUGUCUGUCUGUCCUGGGAUCUGCCCUGUUCUUUUGUCCUGGGUUCUGCCCUGUCCAGCUGUCCCUGGGAUCAACCCUGUCCAUCUGUCCUGGGGGUCAGCUGUAUCCGUUUGUCCUGGGGAUCAGCCCUGUCCAGCUCUCCCUGGGACCUGCUCUGUCUGUCUGUCCCUGGGAUCAGCCCAGUCCGUCUGUCCUGGGGGCUGUCCCAGGAAUCAGCCCUGUCUGUCCUGGAUCAGCCCUGUCUGUCUGUCCCUGGGAUCAGCCCUGUCCGUCUGUCCUGCUGCAGAGGGGCUGCCCUGGAGCUCUGCAGUUCCCCCUUGGCUGCCAGGGCUGCUCUGGGCGUGCUCCACGCUGGGGUCACCGCCAGGAGAGAGUCUCAGUUCGUUCAAUGCACUCCUCUUCCAUUGGUUUAUAGGAUUAUUACUUCUGAAAAAAACACCCUGACAGAAUGAAGCAGGACAGUGAGAGGCUAUUCUGUAUCAAUGCUGUCUUAUUCUAAUACAAUUCCUUCAAGAAAAAAUGGAAUUACAUGAUUUUCACUGUGUAGUGCCAUGAUUAUUAACAACACAAAUAUAUUUAUAAUUUCAACCUGGGUUUUGAUGUUCAUUUGUACGUGGGAAUUAAAAAGGACAAAAGGGAAUGAAAAAGGACAAAAACUGUGCCUGACUCACCUUUUCUAAGGGAGGUUUUGAGGGGUAGUUGGGAGCACAAGUUGCCCAGUGCAGCUCCUCAGCCUUUCCCACAAACACAGAUCUGUUACCAACAGUUUUAUAUUUAGAUCUGUGCAAAUUGUUCAGUCAUGGAAAAGGAAACUGGGGCACACUUUUUAUGGACUCAAAACUCACAAGCCCUCAGCAAAAUGAUUUGUCCUACCAAACUUGCCAGGGAGUCCCCAGUGGAUGUUCCAGCAAACAUCUGCCCUUGGUCAUGAAUUCCUGGCUUUGUGUCACCAGUAAUUUACAGAGGUCAUGGAUCAAACUCAGCAAUUUUGGCUGGGCUCUGCUCUCAUUUUCAGGUUCACCUCACCCUGCUGUGGUGCCUCAGAAGGAAAUGUAAAUUUGUUUGUGGUUUGUAGCUUUUUGUUGAAUCCAACACAAAGCCCUGCAAGCUCUGGUUCUGUUUGGGAUGCCAGCACACCAAGCUGACACCCACACAACUCAGCACAAGCUGGAGAGCAGGGCUUGGCAAAGCUUUAUUUGGGAAGCUGCUAUUCUGGAUACUCCAUCACACCAAAGGGAUUUUGCAGUGUAGGGUUUUUUUCUGGAUGAGAAACUUUGAUGGUAUUUUUAAAUUCUGGUUUUCCCUGUAAGUAAUGUACAUUUCAGAGUUAUUGAACACCUCCAGUUUGUAAUAUUGAUUCGUUAUAAGCACUAGCAGUUGCCAACUAUUAAUAUUGAUUUUGUUUAAUUCUAAUUACUAAUAAGUGAGACAGAACUUGGAUUUC